GAGCUGGUGGCUCUCUUAUCGCGGUGUUUCCUCUCUCUUCGCUCCCGGGGGGAGCUCUCGCGGGGGGAGCUCUCGCGAGAGGAGCAAGAGGAAGAUGGCCGUGCCCUGUUUUUCGGUGUGAGGCGGCGACCGUAGCUGCGACGGCGAGGCUGAGAUCUUGAUGUCGUGGGCACCUGAGCUCUAGCUCCCCCCAGCGAGCGCGCGUCCCUUCGUGCCUAGGCGAGAGCCGGCUCUUCCCCGGGAGAUGCGUUUGUCCCAGGCUCGGGGGCGCAGUGGGAGUUCAUGCUGCGCUGGAGGCUCCUGGCCACCGCUCUAAUCGCCUUGGGCCGCCGCAGCGCCAGCUCAGUCGCCAGCGGUGAGCCUCCCGAUUCCCCGCCUUGCCCCUGGCGGCGGCGAUGACCGGGGAGAAGAUCCGCUCACUGCGGAGGGACCACAAGCCCAGCAAAGAAGAAGGGGACCUGCUGGAGCCCGGGGAUGAGGAAGCGGCGGCUGCCCUUGGCGGCACCUUUACCAGAAGCAGGAUUGGCAAGGGCGGCAAAUCUUGUCAUAAGAUCUUCAGUAACCAUCACCACCGGCUGCAGCUGAAGGCAGCUCCGUCCUCCUCCAAUCCCCCCGGCGCCCCGGCUCUGCCGCUGCACAAUUCCUCCGUGACUGCCACCUCCCAGUCCCCGGCCCUUCUGGCCGGCACCAACCCCGUUGCUGUCGUCGCGGAUGCAGGCAGUUGCCCUGCACACUACCCAGUGCACGAGUGCGUCUUCAAGGGGGAUGUGAGGAGACUUUCCUCUCUCAUCCGCACGCACAAUAUCGGGCAGAAAGAUAAUCACGGUGAGGAGUGCUAGCCCCUCUCCACCUCUCUCCUUCCCUGAGCCUAGGGUGUGCCUCCCCAGGCUUCUGGAAUCCUAGGCCCCCCCUCCAGCAGACUCUUCUUUUCUCUCCUUUGCCCAUCAUCCGGGCCAUUCGGUAAAUCAUGACCGACUCAGUAAUAGCGUGCCAGUGGUCAGGGGGUUGGUUCUUGUGGGUGCAAAGGAA